UACGUGGGGUGCAAGCGUUGUUCGGAAUUACUAGGCGUAAAGCGCGUGUAGGCGGCGCACUAAGUUCGAUGUGAAAGCCCUGGGCUCAACCCAGGAACUGCAUUGAAAACUGGUGUGCUUGAGUCCGGGAGAGGGUCGCGGAAUUCCUGGUGUAGAGGUGAAAUUCGUAGAUAUCAGGAGGAACACCGGUGGCGAAGGCGGCGACCUGGACCGGUACUGACGCUGAGGUGCGAAAGCGUGGGGAGCAAACAGG
rnacentral:rRNA from 1 species